rnacentral:misc_RNA from 1 species
CAGAGUACCGGCAACCCUCUGGGUGCCUACUCCAACCCUUUGUUUACAACCACUGUUGCUUUGGCAGGUCGGCGCACCGCGCGCCGCCGGCUCACGCUGGAGAGCGCCUGCCAGAGGGAACCAAAUGCUGUUUACAGUGCCGUCUGAGUACAAACAACAAAUAAAUCA